GGACGAACGCUGGCGGCGUGCUUAACCCAUGCAAGUCGAACGCGCCUGUCCUCUGGGUUUCUGGGGGGUGGGUGAGUGGCGAACGGGUGAGUAACACGUGAGUAACCUGCCCCCUUCUUCGGGAUAACGGUCUGAAAGGGCUGCUAAUACCGGGUAUUCACUGGUCUCCGCAUGGGGUCUGGUGGAAAGGUUUUUUUCUGGUGGGGGAUGGGCUCGCGGCCUAUCAGCUUGUUGGUGGGGUGAUGGCUCACCAAGGCUUUGACGGGUAGCCGGCCUGAGAGGGUGACCGGGAACAUUGGGACUGAGAUACGGCCCAGACUCCUACGGGAGGCAGAAGUGGGGAAUAUUGCACAAUGGGCGCAAGCCUGAUGCAGCGACGCCGCGUGAGGGAUGGAGGCCUUCGGGUUGUGAACCUCUUUCGCCCGUGGUCAAGCCGCGACGUGGGUCGUGGUGAGGGUAGUGGGUAAAGAAGCGCCGGCUAACUACGUG
rnacentral:rRNA from 1 species